GACGAACGCUGGCGGCGUGCUUAACACAUGCAAGUCGAACGGAAAGGCCAUGCUGUAGUUGGGUGCACGAGAGGCGGAGGGUUGAGAAACGGGGAAGUAAGCGGCCGUUGACUGUGGGGUAACGGGAGGAAACUGGGGGUAAUGACAGAUAGGAGCUCAUGAUGCUAAGUGUGGGAUGGAAAGUUUCGGCGGGUGGGGAUGGACUCGCGACUAGUCAGCUCGUUGGUGGGGUAGUGGCUUGCCAAGGCUUUGACGGGUAGCCGGCCUGAGAGGGUGACCCGCCCCAUUGGGCCUCAGAUACGGCCCAGACUCCUACGUGAGGCAGCAGUGGGGAAUAUUGCACAAUGCGCGGCAGCCUGAUGCAGCAACGCCGCGUGCGGGAUCUCGGUUUUCGGGUUGUAAACCGCUUUCGCCUGUGACGAAGAGUCAGUGACGGUAAUGUGUCAAGAAGCACCGGCUAACUACGUG
rnacentral:rRNA from 1 species